AUUAAUUAGUAAGCAUAAGACAAGAGGAUAGCUCUCUCUGCGAGCCAUUGUGGGCCAGCAUUUCCCAGUAAUACAGCUAUCUCUGGCAAAAGCAGUUUUCCAAGAACAGCAGAUGUUAGUGCAGUCCAGAAAGACACUGGUGUUAAAUGGAUAUUGGCCUUAGCUUCCGGAGUAAUAAGACACUAAAUGCAUUUGAGGACACAGAAAUAAGAAACUGGGGACAGCUGCGGACAGCAGAUUUGGGACACUGGUAUCAUGAAUCCUUUCUCUUUACAAUUCAGUGCAACAUGUGUAAACAUGGAUUAUACCACAUCAGAAACCAAGUUAGCUAUCUCAAGAGAAUUUGUAUCUCUGCUGUGUGUAAGUAAGCAGAUUAAUUCCUAGAUCAGGCAUUACCUAAUACAUUUUUCAAUUCAAUUUCUUCUUUUCUUUCUGCACACAAGAUCAGGGAAGUGGGAUUAUUUUAUUAAUUUAACUAAUAUUUUGCAUGUUUUUCUUUGUUAUCUUUCUUUCCUCUACAAUUUUUGUUAGUUCUUAGUGAGUUAUUUACUAUGGCAAGGAUGUGUAAAGACAAGAAACUGUAG